AGCGAACGCUGGCGGCAGGCCUAACACAUGCAAGUCGAACGAAGCCUUCGGGCUUAGUGGCGGACGGGUGAGUAACACGUGGGAACGUACCUUUUGGUUCGGAACAACUCAGGGAAACUUGAGCUAAUACCGGAUGAGCCCUUAGGGGGAAAGAUUUAUCGCCGAAAGAGCGGCCCGCGUUAGAUUAGCUAGUUGGUGAGGUAAAGGCUCACCAAGGCAACGAUCUAUAGCUGGUCUGAGAGGAUGAUCAGCCAACCUGGGACUGAGACACGGCCCAGACUCCUACGGGAGGCAGCAGUGGGGAAUCUUGCGCAAUGGGCGAAAGCCUGACGCAGCCAUGCCGCGUGAAUGAUGAAGGUCUUAGGAUUGUAAAAUUCUUUUACCAGGGACGAUAAUGACGGUACCUGGAGAAAAAGCCCCGGCUAACUUCGUGCCAGCCGCCGCGGUAAGAC
rnacentral:rRNA from 1 species